rnacentral:rRNA from 1 species
UCUUGGUCAUUUAGAGGAAGUAAAAGUCGUAACAAGGUUUCCGUAGGUGAACCUGCGGAAGGAUCAUUAUUGAGUUUUGAAGUGGGCUUGAUGCUGGCUUCGUCACUGAAGCAUGUGCUCGGCCCCGCUCAAAUCCACUCAACACCUGUGCACUUUCAAAGUUGUAGUCCUCCGUUAUGGGAGCCGCGAGUCGUUAACACGAUCCGUUGGGACUGCACUUUGCCCCUUUAUCACAAACCAUAUACAUUGUCUUGUAGAAUGUGUUAGCCUCUAGUAGGCGAAACUUAAUACAACUUUCAACAACGGAUCUCUUGGCUCUCGCAUCGAUGAAGAACGCAGCGAAAUGCGAUAAGUAAUGUGAAUUGCAGAAUUCAGUGAAUCAUCGAAUCUUUGAACGCACCUUGCGCUCCUUGGUAUUCCGAGGAGCAUGCCUGUUUGAGUGUCGUGAAAUCAUCAACUCCCUUUGCUUUUUGGUGAAGGUGAGCUUGGAUUUGGGGACUUGCUGGCCUUUACGGGUUCUGGCUUCCCUUGAAUGCAUUAGCUGGUAAUUGAUUUGCAGCAUAUAUGCGGUGUGAUAAUAUCUUCACUGUGUAGCUCAAGUCGACUAGCUUCUAAUCGUCCUUCGCGGGACAACAUUUUGAUCAUUAGACCUCAAAUCAGGUAGGACUACCCGCUGAACUUAAGCAUAUCAAUAAGCGGAGGAA